rnacentral:rRNA from 1 species
GUCUUCGGACUUUGAGACCGGCGCACGGGUGCGUAACGCGUAUGCAAUCUACCUUUUACAGAGGGAUAGCCCAGAGAAAUUUGGAUUAAUACCUCAUAGUAUAAUGACUCGGCAUCGAGAUAUUAUUAAAGUCACAACGGUAAAAGAUGAGCAUGCGUCCCAUUAGCUAGUUGGUAAGGUAACGGCUUACCAAGGCUACGAUGGGUAGGGGUCCUGAGAGGGAGAUCCCCCACACUGGUACUGAGACACGGACCAGACUCCUACGGGAGGCAGCAGUGAGGAAUAUUGGACAAUGGGCGCAAGCCUGAUCCAGCCAUGCCGCGUGCAGGAUGACGGUCCUAUGGAUUGUAAACUGCUUUUAUACGAGAAGAAACACUCCUUCGUGAAGGAGCUUGACGGUAUCGUAAGAAUAAGGAUCGGCUAACUCCGUGCCAGCAGCCGCGGUAAUACGGAGGAUCCCAGCGUUAUCCGGAAUCAUUGGGUUUAAAGGGUCCGUAGGCGGUUUAAUAAGUCAGUGGUGAAAGCCCAUCGCUC